GGGGAAUUUUGGACAAUGGGGGAAACCCUGAUCCAGCCAUUCCGCGUGAGUGAAGAAGGCCUUCGGGUUGUAAAGCUCUUUCAGCAGGAACGAAACGGCAGGCUUUAAUACAGCCUGCUAAUGACGGUACCUGCAGAAGAAGCACCGGCUAACUACGUGCCAGCAGCCGCGGUAAUACGUAGGGUGCGAGCGUUAAUCGGAAUUACUGGGCGUAAAGCGUGCGCAGGCGGCGGCAUAAGACAGAUGUGAAAUCCCCGGGCUCAACCUGGGAACUGCGUUUGUGACUGUGCUGCUAGAGUGUAGCAGAGGGGGGUGGAAUUCCACGUGUAGCAGUGAAAUGCGUAGAGAUGUGGAGGAACACCGAUGGCGAAGGCAGCCCCCUGGGUUAACACUGACGCUCAUGCACGAAAGCGUGGGGAGCAAAC
rnacentral:rRNA from 1 species